UGGGGCUUCACCAUGUUGGACAGGCUGGUCUCGAACUCCUGACCUCAGGUGCUUGAUUUCACCACCAUAGACUUGACAUCUGAGACUGAUGAGAUUCCAGAUAUUAUAGCUUUGGAAGAGGAGAACGGAUCAAAUCAUUCACAUGCUAAUGACCCUGUCCUCUCAGGGCAAAAUGUUGAAUAACUAACAAUAAUAAAAUACCCCUUUAGGUUGAAUACGCAAUUUGCAUUACAUUAAACUUCCUGUUUUUAUUCCCGUGACUUUGAAGAGUGUUAAUCUAGUUUUUUGGCUAUAUUGGUCUUAAUUGCAAUGACACUCUCAUCUAAACUUUUGUAAGAGAUCCUAGUUCUGUGUCAUAUAUCAUUUAAUAUAAUUAUUUAAAGUAUAAUUGCUGAAAUACUUACAAUAAAAAUUGGGCUGUAUAAUCUUGA